AGAAUUCAAUCUGAUGUCAGCAUUGAGCGAUGUACAUGGCCUUAAUAUAGAGCUCUACCAUGUGCCUAAAUUGCUAGAUGUUCAUGUAUGCAGGAUUUUUGAAAAGGAAGCAUUUUGGAAAUUCAUGCAUUUUUUACUGGAAUGUUGUGCCAUACACGCGAGUUCUGAUUCAAAGAGUUGAGGUGAAACUUGUUUUGAAACAAGGAAUUAUAAUGUCUAUGGAGCGUGAUAAAGGAGAAGACGUGAUACCUGAACACCCAGAUCUUAAAUGGCUUGAUUCUUCAUUACCGGAUCGUGUUAAGAUGAAUCAGCUACAGAGUCUCCUUCAUGAUGCAUUGAUAGCUACAGGUCAUGUUGAGAACUGUGCUAUCAUUAGAAGAAAAGAUAUCUCCCUCAGAGCAAGCUCAGCUGGAUUCACACUUACUGGAGAUGAGAUGCAGAAGAUGAUAGAUGCAUUCAAAGACCCUCCCAGAACCAGAUUAGAAGGCCUAUACUUCCAUAAUAGACUAUACAAGUGUGUCAGGGCAGACAAGAACUCCAUCUAUGCUAAAUGUGACAAAGAUGGUAUCGUGCUAGUGAAGACCGCCACUCUAGUUAUCAUGGGAACAUACUCGGACAAUAUGUUUCCAAGUGUGUGUGUGGAAGCCAUUGAAAAACUAGCAUCAUACUUCAUAGAGAAGAGCAAAUGAAAGACUGCUGGUUCUGAAGAUUCAAUGUCUCAUUCCAGACAACAGAGGGAGCACUCACUCUAUCAAUGAAGAUAUCAAUGCCUGCCGUUCAAGAUAUCUUUAUGGCAUUCACAGGUGGCUCUCUCUCUAUGAUGCACUUUUCAUGAGGAUAUAAGAUUUCUUAAAAAUGAAAGUCAAAUAAGGUGAAAAAGUGGCAAAUGAGAAUGGGAAAAGUUUGUCCUUUUCCAAAAAAGGUAAAACCCUUUCUUUGCAUGCAUGGGUCGGCUGGGCCCAAGAUAUUCUAAUUCCGUCCAAGAUUUUGUAUCACAAUCCCAUGCGAGGGAAAUUUAGGAAUAACAUGUACAGAUAAAUAUGCCUCAGUCUCUUUUGACCAAAUGCAUGUAGAUUAGUUGUAUGCAGGUAAUUUCAUGCUUUGCAUGUUACGGGUCUGUUGUAGAGAGAGAGUUGUGUCUGAACACAAAUUAUCUGAAAUCUUUGUUUCCAGGUUCAAAACUAUUGCUUUUGAUUUUUAGUAGUUGUGUGUUUUUUAUUAUAACUCUUUCUGCAACGAACUGAAGGGGGGGUCACAAAAAGAUAUAAGUAUCACUAAUGGAGCGUUGGAAGAAGCUUGCGAUAAAUUGCGUGUCUGUUUUCAGUCCCUCAAAAAUCAAUCAUAAGUUUUGAAAUUAAUUGCAAAUUUGAGAUUAAUUGCUUCUUGAAACAAGCAGAUAACUACAGUUAACAUUGGUCUAUGAAUUGUAUAAUUGGAACAGAAUAUUCGUAAUUGAUUGCAAAUAUUUUAUUGCAACACCCUCUUAGAGUCAUGAAUAAAUGCCUAGUUUCGUGCACUAUAAAAUGCAUGACUGCAUUGGUCAGAUCAUGGCGAGAUGACGCGCAGUACUGCGUAUCAAUAAGAUUGCGCGUUGCUUAUAUCGUAUACAUGUCGGCAUUUAAGUACGGCUCUAGGUCUUACUUAUCUUUGUGAACCACCCCCCAGUCUGGAAAUUUCUUCCAAUUUAGCUGAUUACUUGAUAUAUAGGUCUACUUAGACAAACUUACAUGUUACUGUACAUGAAAUGUACUUACGUGUUUAUGUGUUAAAGAAAAACAGCAGCUGAAUUUAUCCAGUCAUCUCCUAUUUGUUCCAAAGAUUUGUCACCUUGACAGUCAUUUUAAUUAGGUUUGUAGAGGAAUUUCAUGUUGUACAAUGAGCUUAAGCAUGGUUUUCAAAUAUUUAAUUUCAUUUUUAUUGAAAGUUUGAGAUAUGAGAAGUUCUGCAAAAAGAUAUUAUUGAACCUUAAGAUUUUUUAGGGAAGUCAUAUUGAUUGUCAUGCUUGAGUAUACCUAUUUCAAAUUUUCAGUUAUAACCAUUGAAAUACUUGCAUGUGAAUUCUGUUUUCUGUUGUGAAGUUAUCAGAUGAUAUGACCAAAAUUUUUGUAAAUGGAGUAUUGGAGACAGAACAGACCACAAAUGAUGACUAUGGUUUCCUUAAUACCAAUUCACAUUUUUAUGUUUUAAAGGGUUUGGAAUGGCCUUGUACUGAUUGUAGGUUUCAUUUAUGAACCUCUUUUGCUUCAAAAUUAUAUUAAAAUGUUUUUUUGUGUGUGUUUUUUUUAUUCAAAAUUGAAACUGUCAAACAUUCCAUAUCAAGAAUUAUAGCUCUUUACUCUAUAUUUCGGAGCUAUUUUAUUUCAGCUUCACAACAAUUCAGGAGAAUAACGUUUGCUUAGAGUUCCUGUGUCUCGUUAGUUACAUGUGUAGAGAUUAACAUCAAGUAUCAUCGGACUUUAUAGAGCUCCAAAUAAUUUACUAGAAAACUCCAUAGAGACUGCUUCAUGGAGAAGUACAGUUCUAGACUUUUUUCUAGUGUAAGAAGUGUACAUGUAAGAAGUUCAUUAUGUUAAAUGUUCUUUGGAAAUUAGAAGUGCAAUAUUGAUGUAAUGAUUAUUGGAGAUUGAUGCUUGCAUUGUACAUUAUACAAUGAAAGUUUUUCUUUCAUUUUACCUUGUCUUAACCACCCCCCCCCCUUCCUUGCUCCCCUCCACCUGUUUCUUUCUCCAUCCUGACCCCUCAUCUUCCACUUGUCAGCUUCCCUUCCUUCACUCUGGUUUCAUGUCAUUUUCCUAGGAUAUUGUUUGAAAAAAAAAAUAAUAGGGAAAUACAUGUUUAAUAGAAAGGGGCUCACUUUCCUUUGGAAGAUAAGCCACAAUGUAUCUCCAUAAAACAGUUCUAUUAACCUUGUGAUCUUGAGAAUGUGUUUUUAAAAGAAUAACAAGCCUUGGUCCUUCUACAAAAGAGGCCUGUAGUCAUCUUCAGUGGUUCAGAGUGGAGAGUAUUUCAUGGGUCAAAUAGUGAUUUACUUGACCAAUUUACUCGGAGCCAAUAAGAUGCAAGGACUUCAGUAGCUUAACAACAGUCAGUAAAAAUCACUGAUAAUUUGUUUUUGUGAAAUGCUCCCAGGAUGAGAGGUAAUAUCAGGCUUGUGAAAUCUCUGAAGCAUUUCAGGUUAUUAAUAGUUUGUGAUUUUUGCUGACUAUUGUUAUAAGCUAUUGAAAUCCUUGCGUCUGAUUGGCUGAGGGCAAAUUUUCCAGAGACAAUCACUGACAAGUUGCUUUGGUGACACAUCAUUUGCUCUGGUCUUAACAUCUCAAAGGGUACAUGGUUCUGAAAUUACCCAUCAUUAUGUAACUGCAUGCCAGACCAAAAAUUGCUCAAAAAUGUGGUUUUGUGUACAAAGUCAAUGCAAAUUGUGUUAUCAAAGGUAUGAUUUUU
rnacentral:misc_RNA from 1 species